rnacentral:rRNA from 1 species
UACGGAGGGUGCAAGCGUUAUCCGGAUUCACUGGGUUUAAAGGGUGCGUAGGCGGGCAGGUAAGUCCGUGGUGAAAUCCUAUAGCUUAACUAUAGAACUGCCAUGGAUACUAUUUGUCUUGAAUGUCGUAGAGGUAAGCGGAAUAAGUCAUGUAGCGGUGAAAUGCUUAGAUAUGACUUAGAACACCAAUUGCGAAGGCAGCUUACUAUGCGAUUAUUGACGCUGAGGCACGAAAGCGUGGGUAGCAAACAGG